AUUAAAAAUCAGAAAUUUUGUGAAACUUUUCGAGGUGGCUCAUAGUCUGGCUGUCGUCGAAUUGGUUUAUCAUCUAAGAACACAGAGCUCAAGCUUCGCUUACAGGUCAUGGAACAGCAACCAUUGUCGACCAGAACUUUCAAGACAGAAACAAAGCAAGUUACGACAAGUACUAGUCUUGAAAAUGGUAAAGGAGCAACCGUCUCCCGACUUUGACGAAGCUUGAGAAUCAAGGAUCGUCACAGGUGUGUGGCCAUUUGAUUCCAAGUUGUUGGAUCACGUCUAGUGAACUCACCGCUCAUUGGAAGCAUGAAUAUUUCAUCCGACCAAAUUCACCUGUGUCCAUAAACAAGAGUAUCCACGUGUACACUCACUACGGGGACAAGUUUUUCCAUCCAUAUGUACAUUGGGGGGAUAAAUCAUUAGAAGCAGAGAUGAGAAAACUGAAGCUUGAGUAUGAGAAGCUUGGUUUUCAUUUGAAACUUGAGUAUGAAACUGGAUUUGUAUAACUGCUUUUCAUUUCAUAUAAUCUACAAUGUACAUUAGGAUAGUGUACACAUGGAUAAGUAGAUAACGAAACCUAUGUACACUAAUCAUUUAUACCAAAUACAUUAAGAUAGUAUUAGUGUACACAUGGAUAACAAGACGUAUGUACACUACUUAAUUAUACAAAUUUACAAUGUA